rnacentral:rRNA from 1 species
AUUGAACGCUGGCGGCAUGCCUUACACAUGCAAGUCGAACGGCAGCACGGGUGCUUGCACCUGGUGGCGAGUGGCGAACGGGUGAGUAAUACAUCGGAACGUACCUUAUCGUGGGGGAUAACGCAGCGAAAGCUGUGCUAAUACCGCAUACGCCCUGAGGGGGAAAGCGGGGGAUCGAAAGACCUCGCGCGAUUAGAGCGGCCGAUGCCUGAUUAGCUUGUUGGUGGGGUAAAAGCCCACCAAGGCGACGAUCAGUAGCUGGUCUGAGAGGACGCUCAGCCAAACUGGGACUGAGACACGGCCCAGACUCCUACGGGAGGCAGCAGUGGGGAAUUUUGGACAAUGGGGGCAACCCUGAUCCAGCAAUGCCGCGUGAGUGAAGAAGGCCUUCGGGUUGUAAAGCUCUUUUGUCAGGGAAGAAACACCGGCUCUAACACAGUCCGGGAAUGACGGUACCUGAAGAAUAAGCACCGGCUAACUACGUGCCAGCAGCCGCAGUAA